rnacentral:rRNA from 1 species
UACGUAGGGGGCAAGCGUUGUCCGGAUUUAUUGGGCGUAAAGGGUGCGUAGGCGGCGCGGUAAGUCGGGUGUGAAAUCUCGGGGCUUAACUCCGAAACUGCAUUCGAUACUGCCGUGCUUGAGGACUGGAGAGGAGACUGGAAUUUACGGUGUAGCGGUGAAAUGCGUAGAUAUCGUAAGGAAGACCAGUGGCGAAGGCGGGUCUCUGGACAGUUCCUGACGCUGAGGCACGAAGGCCAGGGGAGCAAACGGG